CCUGUGCUCAGUAAUAAGCGCUCAACAAGCACCACACAGCGACGACAACCGUAAUAUUGUUACUGCCAUCAUUAUAAUAAUAUUAGUAACUAUACCACGAUACAAACGAUAUAGUGCGAAAAUUUCUACUACGAACAUAUAUCUUGUCCUGCCCUUGCCGUCGAGUCGUUUCCGACCCACAGCGACUCCGUGGACACGUCUCUCCCAGAACGCCCCGCUCUCCAUCCGCAAUCGUUCCGGGAAUGGAUCCGUAGCGUUUUCUUGGUAAAAAUCCCGAAGUGGUUUCCCAUCGCCUCCUUGGGCGCAGUAAACUUGUGUCUCCGCCCUCGACCCUCUCCCGUGCCGCCGCUGCCCUGCCCGGGUGAGUUUUGAUUUGUAGCAGAUCGCCUUCCACUGGCUAGCCACUCCCUAAACUAGGAAUGGAAUGGGCAGGCCUCUGCUUGACUCUCCCUCCCAUAGCCGAGCAUGGUAGAGUACUGGAAACCCUCCAGGUGCGACCCUGAGAGAGGAAUGAACACAUAUAAUAUAUAAAUAAUAUAAAUAUAGGAAUACUAAAUGCAUAAUGCCCAAACUGUUGAUAAUCACUAAUAUUAUCACUAUUAUAAGAGUUUGGGUGACCCUUUUUAUUUCUAACGUUACCGUCCAAGAAGGUAUGAAAACUUCACAUUACAAACAGAGCUGUUCUGGAGAGGAAACAACCUGGUUUAUGAUGUCACAGUGGACGCUAAGUUGCAGCUUUGCUGUUACUGGUGACGGUAGCUGUCAAAAGACAGGCUACUCUCAGGCAGACACAGCAGUCUGACUAGAAGCGUGUCUAGGGCAGAUCACUUUACUUUUGAAAAGUCGAUUUGCCGGAUACCUUUCGCUCUUCUGGCCUAAAAGGCUUUCCGUGGGUCAGUGAUUUUGGAGUUAUUCUUUCCCCCCGUGUGGAAAGAUGCUUAUUCAACUGCUCUCUCUGGCCAUCGGCAUCUGGCUCUCCUUCUUGGUGGAGGAGAGCCAAAUUUUCUCUGAAAAGGAAUUGUGGGCCAGAAUCGGCUGGGAGAUUCUCCCAGAAGAAACACCCAAAUUGAAGCUUCCAAGUCCACCUCCACGAUACUGCCUGCCUUUUCCUCUGGAGAAAGUCUGUUGCAGUCUUUCUACUUUCAUUCGAAUCAACAACUCGAUGCUGUUCUUAUCUACGCUUGGGAUAAGCCUGACUCUUAUGGUGCUUUUCUGGACUGCAUAUCGUCGUUGGACCAAACGGAAGCGGGAUGUGGAAACGGAUGAACAUCUGCAGGGUCGGUCCAUCCCCGGAAUGGAGCAGAUUCUUGCAGAAUUACUGACUACUGUGGUCAUGUUGAAACGUCAAGUGGAAGAGAUGAACAAAAACAAUGGAAAAGGAAAGUGCAGAUGCAGCUACGCUGACAGAAAGGCCGAAGCAGAGGGAGAACGGCGGACCUCCCUCACCCUUCCCGUUUGCCCUCCCACUCCCCGGCCGAGCUUGGAGUCGGUCCACGCCAAACCGGGCUCUUGA
rnacentral:lncRNA from 1 species